rnacentral:rRNA from 1 species
AACGAACGCUGGCGGCAGGCUUAACACAUGCAAGUCGAACGCCCCGCAAGGGGAGUGGCAGACGGGUGAGUAACGCGUGGGAAUCUACCCAGAUCUACGGAACAACAGUUGGAAACGACUGCUAAUACCGUAUACGCCCUACGGGGGAAAGAGUUAUCGGAUUUGGAUGAGCCCGCGUUGGAUUAGCUAGUUGGUGGGGUAAUGGCCUACCAAGGCGACGAUCCAUAGCUGGUCUGAGAGGAUGAUCAGCCACACUGGGACUGAGACACGGCCCAGACUCCUACGGGAGGCAGCAGUGGGGAAUAUUGGACAAUGGGCGCAAGCCUGAUCCAGCCAUGCCGCGUGCGUGAUGAAGGCCUUAGGGUUGUAAAGCUCUUUCACCGAUGAAGAUAAUGACGGUAGUCGGAGAAGAAGCCCCGGCUAACUUCGUGCCAGCCGCCGCAGUAAAAC